UACUUCCAGCAAUGGGCAGAGAAACCCCUUGUUGGUGGUGGUGUUCUGUGUCAGUCAGGGGCAGAGCAGAUGGCAGUCCUUUGUGCAUCCUAGCUUGACACCUGGCUUGGUAGCCAAAGCUGUUUUAUGCCUAGGACUCAUAA
rfam:Mus musculus chromosome 13 genomic contig, GRC reference assembly alternate locus group 129S6/SvEvTac.